rnacentral:tRNA from 1 species
GUCGGCGUGGCGAUGGGUGCGCGUGGCGUUGCCGCUGCUUCCGAGGCGGCGGAUGUGGUGUUGCUGGUCGAUCGCCUCGACCGGCUGGCC